GUGCCAACAGGGACAUACGCCAGGUGGGAAGCUGAAUGAAAUCGCCACGGGCCGGGCAGUAAAUGACUGGAGGACUAUCAGAGUACUCUUACCGGAUGCCAAGUGCCAUCCUCGACUGCGAAAGAUGACAAAGGAGAGGGUGAAGCUUUUCACUUGCUAACAUCGCUAUGGUGACGCAGAAGUGCUGCCAGCCCCACGGAGGAGAUCGUGUUCUCACGGAGGAGAACUGGGUUUGCUCUUAUCAGCCAUCGGAAGGCACCACCAACCCAAGACGACUUUGAGUUAAAUUCUCUGCUUGAGGGAUGCCCGGGUGGCUCAGUUCGUUAAGUGGCUGCCUUCGGCUCAGGUCAUGAUCCCAGCGUCCUGGG